UGGGGAAUAUUGCACAAUGGGCGGAAGCCUGAUGCAGCGACGCCGCGUGAGGGAUGACGGCCUUCGGGUUGUAAACCUCUUUCGCUAGGGAAGAAGCCUUCGGGUGACGGUACCUGGAUAAGAAGCACCGGCUAACUACGUGCCAGCAGCCGCGGUAAUACGUAGGGUGCAAGCGUUGUCCGGAAUUACUGGGCGUAAAGAGCUCGUAGGUGGUUUGUCGCGUCGUCUGUGAAAUUCCGGGGCUUAACUCCGGGCGUGCAGGCGAUACGGGCAAACUGGAGUGCUGUAGGGGAGACUGGAAUUCCUGGUGUAGCGGUGGAAUGCGCAGAUAUCAGGAGGAACACCGAUGGCGAAGGCAGGUCUCUGGGCAGUUACUGACACUGAGGGAGCAGAAGCAUGGGUAGCGAACAGGAUUAGAUACC
rnacentral:rRNA from 1 species